AUUAGAGUUUGAUCCUGCCUCAGGACGAACGCUGGCGGCGUGCCUAAUACAUGCAAGUCGAGCAGAUUGAAGGGAGCUUGCUCCCUGAUAUUAGCGGCGGACGGGUGAGUAACACGUGGGCAACCUGCCCUGCAGAUGGGGAUAACUCCGGGCCUACCGGGGCUAAUACCGAAUAAUCGGUUCUUCCGCAUGGAAGAACUCUGAAAGACGGUUUCGGCUGUCACUGCAGGAUGGGCCCGCGGCGCAUUAGCUAGUUGGUGGGAUAACGGCCUACCAAGGCGACGAUGCGUAGCCGACCUGAGAGGGUGAUCGGCCACACUGGGACUGAGACACGGCCCAGACUCCUACGGGAGGCAGCAGUAGGGAAUCUUCCACAAUGGACGAAAGUCUGAUGGAGUAACGCCGCGUGAGCGAAGAAGGUUUUCGGAUCGUAAAGCUCUGUUGCGAGGCAAGAACAAGUACCGUUCGAAUAGGGCGGCACCUUGACGGUACCUAACCAGAAAGCCACGGCUAACUACGUGCCAGCAGCCGCGGUAAUACGUAGGUGGCAAGCGUUGUCCAGAAUUAUUGGGCGUAAAGCGCGCGCAGGCGGUUUCUUAAGUCUGAUGUGAAAGCCCCCGGCUCAACCGGGGAGGGUCAUUGGAAACUGGGGAACUUGAGUGCAGAAGAGGAGAGUGGAAUUCCACGUGUAGCGGUGAAAUGCGUAGAGAUGUGGAGGAACACCAGUGCCGAAGGCGACUCUCUGGUCUGUAACUGACGCUGAGGCGCGAAAGCGUGGGGAGCGAACAGGAUUAGAUACCCUGGUAGUCACGCCGUAAACGAUGAGUGCUAAGUGUUAGAGGGUUUCCGCCCUUUAGUGCUGCAGCUAACGCAUUAAGCACUCCGCCUGGGGAGUACGGUCGCAAGACUGAAACUCAAAGGAAUUGACGGGGGCCCGCACAAGCGGUGGAGCAUGUGGUUUAAUUCGAAGCAACGCGAAGAACCUUACCAGGUCUUGACAUCCUCUGACAACUCUAGAGAUAGAGCGAUCCCCUUCGGGGGACAGAGUGACAGGUGGUGCAUGGUUGUCGUCAGCUCGUGUCGUGAGAUGUUGGGUUAAGUCCCGCAACGAGCGCAACCCUUGAUCUUAGUUGCCAGCAUUCAGUUGGGCACUCUAAGGUGACUGCCGGUGACAAACCGGAGGAAGGUGGGGAUGACGUCAAAUCAUCAUGCCCCUUAUGACCUGGGCUACACACGUGCUACAAUGGAUGGUACAAAGGGCUGCAAGACCGCGAGGUCAAGCCAAUCCCAUAAAACCAUUCUCAGUUCGGAUCGCAGUCUGCAACUCGACUGCGUGAAGCUGGAAUCGCUAGUAAUCGCGGAUCAACGUGCCGCGGUGAAUACGUUCCCGGGCCUUGUACACACCGCCCGUCACACCACGAGAGUUUGUAACACCCGAAGUCGGUGGGGUAACCUUUUUGGAGCCAGCCGCCUAAGGUGGGACAGAUGAUUGGGGUGAAGUCGUAACAAGGAAUCUCU
rnacentral:rRNA from 1 species